rnacentral:sRNA from 1 species
UCUAUUGCUGCUAAGCUAUCCCUCACUGCUAAGCUAUCGCCGCCUGCCAACCUAUCUAUUGCUGCUAAGCUAUCCCUCGCUGCUAAGCUAUCGCCGCUGCCAACCUAUCUAUUGCUGCAAGCUAUCCCUCGCUGCUAAGCUAUCCCUCGCUGCUAAGCUAUCCCUCGCUGAUAAGCUAUCUAUCACUGCUAAUCUAUCGCUGCCAACCUAUCUAUCACUGCCAAUCUAUCUAUCGCUGCCAAUCUAUCGCCGCUGCCAAUCUAUCCCUCACUGCUAAGCUAUCCCUCGCUGCUAAGCUAUCCCUCACUGCUAAGCUAUCCCUCGCUGCUAAGCUAUCCCUCGCUGCUAAGCUAUCCCUCACUGCUAAGCUAUCCCUCGCUGCUAAGCUAUCCCUCACUACUAAGCUAUCUAUCACUGCUAAUCUAUCGCUGCCAACCUAUCUAUCGCUGCCAAUUUAUCUACCACUGCCAAUCUAUCUAUGGCUGCUAAUCUAUCGCUGCUAAUCUAUCGCUGCCAACCUAUCCAUCGCUGCCAAUUUAUCUACCACUGCCAAUCUAUCUAUCGCUGCUAAUCUAUCGCUGCUAAUCUAUUGCUGUCAAUCAAUCUACCACUGCCAACCUAUCUAUUGCUGCCAAUCUAUCGCUGCCAACCUAUCUACUGCAGUGAAUCUAUCUAUCACUAUCAUUACUAGUUCAAAAUAGAACUAGAGCAUAAAUACACUAAACUUCUUUUGAUAGAUAAUGAUUUUUGGUAACACUCAUAGCAUUAUAUCAUCUAUAUAGGGUAAAUCAUGGUCCCAUUUGGUCCCAUUUUAACAAAAUGGGAUCAAAUGGGAUCAGAAUCAGUAAUUUAUAAGAAGAACAUGAUCUGAGACUAGAUUUAUAAUAUAAACAGUGUAAAGUGACUAAUUUAAUAAACACUAUAUGAAACCAGA